rnacentral:rRNA from 1 species
AGGGAGUUUGAUCCUGGCUCAGGAUGAACGCUGGCGGCGUGCCUAACACAUGCAAGUCGAACGGAAACUAAGCGCUUCGGAGGCUUCGGCCAAUGUUUGCUUGGUUUUAGUGGCGGACGGGUGAGUAACGCGUGGAUAACCUGCCUCAUACAGGGGGAUAACAGUUAGAAAUGACUGCUAAUACCGCAUAAGCGCACGGGAUCGCAUGUUUCUGUGUGAAAAACUCCGGUGGUAUGAGAUGGAUCCGCGUCUGAUUAGCUAGUUGGCGGGGUAACAGCCCACCAAGGCGACGAUCAGUAGCCGGCCUGAGAGGGUGAACGGCCACAUUGGGACUGAGACACGGCCCAAACUCCUACGGGAGGCAGCAGUGGGGGAUAUUGCACAAUGGGGGAAACCCUGAUGCAGCGACGCCGCGUGAGUGAAGAAGUAUUUCGGUAUGUAAAGCUCUAUCAGCAGGGAAGAUAAUGACGGUACCUGACUAAGAAGCACCGGCUAAAUACGUGCCAGCAGCCGCGGUAAUACGUAUGGUGCAAGCGUUAUCCGGAUUUACUGGGUGUAAAGGGAGCGUAGACGGCAAAGCAAGUCUGAUGUGAAAGCUAUGGGCUCAACCCAUAAACUGCAUUGGAAACUGUUUAGCUAGAGUGUCGGAGAGGUAAGUGGAAUUCCUAGUGUAGCGGUGAAAUGCGUAGAUAUUAGGAGGAACACCGGUGGCGAAGGCGGCUUACUGGACGAUAACUGACGUUGAGGCUCGAAAGCGUGGGGAGCAAACAGGAUUAGAUACCCUGGUAGUCCU